rnacentral:rRNA from 1 species
GACAGAGGGUGCAAACGUUGUUCGGAAUUACUGGGCGUAAAGCGCGUGUAGGCGGCUUCGCAAGUCGGAUGUGAAAUCCCACGGCUCAACCGUGGAAGUGCAUUCGAAACUGCAAGGCUAGAGUUCUGGAGAGGAAGGUGGAAUGCUUGGUGUAGAGGUGAAAUUCGUAGAUAUCAAGCGGAACACCGGUGGCGAAGGCGGCCUUCUGGA